rnacentral:rRNA from 1 species
GCUGACGAGUGGCGGACGGGUGAGUAAUGUCUGGGAAACUGCCUGAUGGAGGGGGAUAACUACUGGAAACGGUGGCUAAUACCGCAUAACGUCGCAAGACCAAAGAGGGGGACCUUCGGGCCUCUUGCCAUCAGAUGUGCCCAGAUGGGAUUAGCUUGUUGGUGAGGUAACGGCUCACCAAGGCGACGAUCCCUAGCUGGUCUGAGAGGAUGACCAGCCACACUGGAACUGAGACACGGUCCAGACUCCUACGGGAGGCAGCAGUGGGGAAUAUUGCACAAUGGGCGCAAGCCUGAUGCAGCCAUGCCGCGUGUAUGAAGAAGGCCUUCGGGUUGUAAAGUACUUUCAGCGGGGAGGAAGGUGUUGUGGUUAAUAACCGCAGCAAUUGACGUUACCCGCAGAAGAAGCACCGGCUAACUCCGUGCCAGCAGCCGCGGUAAUACGGAGGGUGCAAGCGUUAAUCGGAAUUACUGGGCGUAAAGCGCACGCAGGCGGUCUGUCAAGUCGGAUGUGAAAUCCCCGGGCUCAACCUGGGAACUGCAUUCGAAACUGGCAGGCUUGAGUCUUGUAGAGGGGGGUAGAAUUCCAGGUGUAGCGGUGAAAUGCGUAGAGAUCUGGAGGAAUACCGGUGGCGAAGGCGGCCCCCUGGACAAAGACUGACGCUCAGGUGCGAAAGCGUGGGGAGCAAACAGGAUUAGAUACCCUGGUAGUCCACGCCGUAAACGAUGUCUACUUGGAGGUUGUGCCCUUGAGGCGUGGCUUCCGGAGCUAACGCGUUAAGUAGACCGCCUGGGGAGUACGGCCGCAAGGUUAAAACUCAAAUGAAUUGACGGGGGCCCGCACAAGCGGUGGAGCAUGUGGUUUAAUUCGAUGCAACGCGAAGAACCUUACCUGGUCUUGACAUCCACGGAAGUUUUCAGAGAUGAGAAUGUGCCUUCGGGAACCGUGAGACAGGUGCUGCAUGGCUGUCGUCAGCUCGUGUUGUGAAAUGUUGGGUUAAGUCCCGCAACGAGCGCAACCCUUAUCCUUUGUUGCCAGCG